GAUGAACGCUGGCGGCGUGCCUAAUACAUGCAAGUCGAGCGAACGGACGAGAAGCUUGCUUUUCUGAUGUUAGCGGCGGACGGGUGAGUAACACGUGGAUAACCUACCUAUAAGACUGGGAUAACUUCGGGAAACCGGAGCUAAUACCGGAUAAUAUUUUGAACCGCAUGGUUCAAAAGUGAAAGACGGUCUUGCCGUCACUUAUAGAUGGAUCCGCGCUGCAUUAGCUAGUUGGUAAGGUAACGGCUUACCAAGGCAACGAUGCAUAGCCGACCUGAGAGGGUGAUCGGCCGCACUGGAACUGAGACACGGUCCAGACUCCUACGGGAGGCAGCAGUAGGGAAUCUUCCGCAAUGGGCGAAAGCCUGACGGAGCAACGCCGCGUGAGUGAUGAAGGUCUUCGGAUCGUAAAACUCUGUUAUUAGGGAAGAACAUAUGUGUAAGUAACUGUGCACAUCUUGACGGUACCUAAUCAGAAAGCCACGGCUAACUACGUG
rnacentral:rRNA from 1 species